UACGUAGGGCGCAAGCGUUGUCCGGAAUUAUUGGGCGUAAAGAGCUCGUAGGCGGUUUGUCACGUCGGCUGUGAAAACCCGAGGCUCAACCUCGGGCCUGCAGUCGAUACGGGCAGACUAGAGUGCUGUAGGGGAGACUGGAAUUCCUGGUGUAGCGGUGAAAUGCGCAGAUAUCAGGAGGAACACCGGUGGCGAAGGCGGGUCUCUGGGCAGUAACUGACGCUGAGACGCGAAAGCGUGGGGAGCAAACAGG
rnacentral:rRNA from 1 species